CUUCACUCUCACUGCGGAGGAGCGCGGUUGAGCUCAGGCAGCAGCGAGACAUAUGCAGACCAAACCCACCUAGUGACAAUAAGAUCCGGUCCCUGUGGGUGACGUGGCGGUGCCAGCUACAGAGCCUUACUGGGACUAGCAGCCAGGUCAGAACGGCCACCAGAGGUGGGACCUCAUGGUCCACUGCCUCCUUCAGGAUAUGGAAAUGGUCUUGGACUAAGUUAUUAAUUUUGAUAAACUCUUAGAGAUUAUGCAGAGAGCUGACAAAUAUCUGGCCAUUUUUCUAAAUCGAUUAUGAGAGACUCGCUUUGACCCAGCCACCCAUAGGUCCUGGCCACCCAUUUCAUUUCUCAGUCAGCUCCAGAUAUUAGAAAGAAAUUUAAAAGGCCAGAGGAGGGUCCCAAAACCCCCAGACAGGAAUUGGUGAAAGCGGCCUUUAAGGUUUUUAAUGCCUGAGAGGAAGCAGCAGAAUCUUCCCAACAGGCUCAACUACAACGGAAGGCUACCUUCAAGCCCACUCCUUGGCGGCUGUCCUGCGGCCACUGGCGCCCCCACAAGGAAGACAAGGGAAGUUGUCCAUGAGGCUCCAUCAAUCAGAGCUCAGCCCAAGUCAACCACACCAGGAUCCUGUUACAAAUGCAGCCAGGAAGGCCAUUGGUCACAGUAUUGCCCUGAGCCUCAGCCACCAGUGAGGCCAUGCCCCAUCUGCCAACGACCUGGACACUGGAAAUCGGAAUGCCCUCCCAGGGGUUCAUCCUCCAUGCCACUCCACAGAGGUCCAGCCUCACCCACAGCAGCAUCUGAGACUCUUCCAGCCUUCAAACUCCUCAACCUGAUGGAGGGCUGAUGCAGCCCAGACUUUGCCCUCUCUGAGCCUCGGGUAAUGCUCCAGGAACCAGCCCUUCUGGGACCCUCACAUCACUUCCCAUCCACAAACUUUGUGAAGUGUCGUCUGCAAAUCAUUGCAUGGCCCCACGGUGGCAGUGCCGGCCUGUGUUUCUAAACGAGAUCGCGGAGACGGCCUUUUUUGCGGUGUCAGCCAGACCAGCGCUGAUGCCAUUAAGUUGCCCAGGCUCACUUGAACUUAUUCCGUAAACCUGGACGGCCUUGAACGGUUUGAAUCUCUAUCAGUUUUCUGCAGUGAAC